UCUGACUAUAUUGCUGUCGGCCUUAGGAGGCAGGUUGACAUGGCCUGAGAUCCUUGGGGGAUUCGGAAAUCCUGGAGUGGGGAUGGAGACCACCACUCUCGCCCGGCAGGUGCCACGUGGGGAAAACAGCGGGCGGGCCUCCUUCACACAGGACUAGCAUUCUUCUGGGACUCUGCCUGCGCCCCUGAAAGGACGCCCUUGAAGCUCCGACAGACGUCUCAAGUUCACACUUCAAAACGCAAAUUCCCGGACCCCCGACACACUCCACACCUGCUCCUCUGACAUCCUUCUCGCUGCUCAGUCCAAACACCCAGCUGCUCCCCUUAACUCCUCUUGGACCCUCCACAUCCACCCUCUCCGGGCUGAAGCCCACGGAAGUCCUUAGCCCUUGGUGGCCGUGGCAUGAAGGACCCAGCUCCCAGAGGAGUCUAGAAUUUGUCUCGCUGCCAUGGAUCCAGUUAUACACAUGUUACUGCUGAUGUUUUCUGGCCCCUCCUAUCCCUCCUCCUGAUAAAUUCCCUGGGUUUGUACCAUGGGCUGCCUGCCUCUGCUUCCCUGCUGGACAUUCAGUCCUCCCGAGAGUGAGAUUCUCCAAAGCUUAACUUGCCUGGCAAGUCCUCGACUCCCACCCCCUUACCCGCAGCCCGAUUUCUUAUGCACCUGCUGCUAAGUAAGAUGCUUCUGUGAGAGGUCAGAUGGCUUAAAGUCUGGCCCCGAUUUCCCGCUGACUCUGAGUUCUACAUCCUGCCUACACUCUUGGUUUAAAUCAGCAUUACUUCCUGCCACAUCGGAUCGUCCCUGUCACUGAUACAUCGUAAGCCAAACUCUCUUUUGCUCAGGGGGGCAAUUGCACAGAAAUCGAAAUAGAGCGAGGGAGCCGGCUGUGCAGACGUUCCCGGCGAAGAGAGGUAAAUGGUUUAGGCAAAGAAAAGAAUGGCUAAUGUUAGAAUUUGAAGAGGGGUAGAUAUUGGGGCGGAUGGGAUCCUUUCACAUGACAGUCAACAGCACCAACGUUUUCGUUUGUUUUGUUUGGUGCUUUUGUUUUUGCUUUUUUUAUACAGGGAGUCAUUUUACACUUUUUGCACACCCAAAAAAGGUAGAUAUCAAUAGGAAGAGCACAAGGCCUGCAUUCGAAGCCUUCGACUUUAUACCUUCCUACUUCCCCUUACUAUCUGCGUGGCCUCGGGUAUGUCACUGCACUCGAGACACCGAAUUCAACUGUAGCAACGGGGAGAUGAUAACAAAUGAAACUGCUGUGUGUCAGGCACACCCCACCGAAUGCUUACACCCCCCGUUUUCCAAGCGACCCUGAAAGAUGGAGCUACUAUCCCCAUGUCAGAGGUGGACGGGUCGUUUUCCUCUGCGUCGCCCAGGCCCAGUGAAAGUGCUUUGUGAAUGGUAAGCCACCUGCCAGUGGUCAGUCACACGCGAGGCCAGGUUGGUUCUCCGCUUCCCAAACCAGCGCGUGGGCUCCUGAAAUCACGACGCUGCCAGAGAUCCGAAUGCGCUUGCGUUGGGCGUGAAUGUUACCGUUUGACAAGUGUUUAAAAAACAGUUUUUAAGGAAACCGAUCUUCUGGAGUACAAUGCAAAUUGUAUAUGUACAAGAUAAAAACAAAACUUUGGAGAGACAGCGGGGCCUUUGUCUCCUUAUACGGUAUAUAAAAUGUAUCAGAAUGUGAUUGCUAUUAUGUAAGAGGCUUCUGCGAAGAUGAAAUUCUUAAGGAGAAGGGGGAAACAAACAAAAAACAAGGAACUGGAGGGGCGCCUGGGUGGCUCAGUCGGU